UGCUAGUUGUACGAGUUCACACUCGUAGCAAAUAGCUCCGUAACACGUGGCCAAACUACCCUACAGAGAACGAUAACCUCGGGAAACUGAGGCUAAUAGUUCAUACCCGUCUCUCGCUGGAAUGCCGAGACGCGCAAACGCUCACGCGCUGUAGGACGUGGCUGCGGCCGAUUAGGUAGACGGUGGGGUAACGGCCCACCGUGCCGAUAAUCGGUACGGGUUGUGAGAGCAAGAACCCGGAGACGGAAUCUGAGACAAGAUUCCGGGCCCUACGGGGCGCAGCAGGCGCGAAACCUUUACACUGCACGCAAGUGCGAUAAGGGGACCCCGAGUGCGAGGGCAUACAGUCCUCGCUUUUCAGUACCGUAGGGAGGUACUGGAAUAAGAGCUGGGCAAGACCGGUGCCAGCCGCCGCGGUAAUACCGGCAGCUCGAGUGAUGGCCGAUUUUAUUGGGCCUAAAGCGUUCGUAGCCGGCCACACAAGUCCAUCGGGAAAUCCGCCAGCCUAACUGGCGGGCGUCCGGUGGAAACUGUGUGGCUCGGGACCGGAAGACCCGAAGGGUACGUCUUGGGUAGGAGUGAAAUCCUGUAAUCCUGGACGGACCGCCGAUGGCGAAAGCACUUCGGGAAGACGGAUCCGACGGUGAGGAACGAAAGCCAGGGUCUCGAACCGGAUUAGAUACCCGGGUAGUCCUGGCCGUAAACGAUGUCUGCUAGGUGUGACUCCCACUACGAGUGGGUGUUGUGCCGUAGGGAAGCCGCUAAGCAGACCGCCUGGGAAGUACGUCCGCAAGGAUGAAACUUAAAGGAAUUGGCGGGGGAGCACUACAACCGGAGGAGCCUGCGGUUUAAUUGGACUCAACGCCGGACAUCUCACCAGCAUCGACAACAGCAAUGACGGUCAGGUUGAUGACCUUGCCAGAGCUGUUGAGAGGAGGUGCAUGGCCGCCGUCAGCUCGUACCGUGAGGCGUCCUGUUAAGUCAGGCAACGAGCGAGACCCGCACUCCUAAUUGCCAGCACCGGCUUCCGGCCGGGUGGGUACAUU
rnacentral:rRNA from 1 species